AGAGUUUGAUCCUGGCUCAGGAUGAACGCUGGCGGCGUGCCUAAUACAUGCAAGUCGAACGCUUCACUUCGGUGAAGAGUGGCGAACGGGUGAGUAAUACAUAAGUAACCUGGCAUCUACAGGGGGAUAACUGAUGGAAACGUCAGCUAAGACCGCAUAGGUGUAGAGAUCGCAUGAACUCUAUAUGAAAAGUGCUACGGGACUGGUAGAUGAUGGACUUAUGGCGCAUUAGCUUGUUGGUAGGGUAACGGCCUACCAAGGCGACGAUGCGUAGCCGACCUGAGAGGGUGACCGGCCACACUGGGACUGAGACACGGCCCAGACUCCUACGGGAGGCAGCAGUAGGGAAUUUUCGGCAAUGGGGGAAACCCUGACCGAGCAACGCCGCGUGAAGGAAGAAGUAAUUCGUUAUGUAAACUUCUGUCAUAGAGGAAGAACGGUGGAUAUAGGGAAUGAUAUCCAAGUGACGGUACUCUAUAAGAAAGCCACGGCUAACUACGUGCCAGCAGCCGCGGUAAUACGUAGGUGGCGAGCGUUAUCCGGAAUUAUUGGGCGUAAAGAGGGAGCAGGCGGCACUAAGGGUCUGUGGUGAAAGAUCGAAGCUUAACUUCGGUAAGCCAUGGAAACCGUAGAGCUAGAGUGUGUGAGAGGAUCGUGGAAUUCCAUGUGUAGCGGUGAAAUGCGUAGAUAUAUGGAGGAACACCAGUGGCGAAGGCGACGAUCUGGCGCAUAACUGACGCUCAGUCCCGAAAGCGUGGGGAGCAAAUAGGAUUAGAUACCCUAGUAGUCCACGCCGUAAACGAUGAGUACUAAGUGUUGGGUGUCAAAGCUCAGUGCUGCAGUUAACGCAAUAAGUACUCCGCCUGAGUAGUACGUUCGCAAGAAUGAAACUCAAAGGAAU
rnacentral:rRNA from 1 species